rnacentral:rRNA from 1 species
AUUGAACGCUGGCGGCAGGCCUAACACAUGCAAGUCGAACGAGUGGCGGACGGGUGAGUAAUGUAUGGGAAACUGCCUGAUGGCGGGGGAUAACUACUGGAACAGGUAGCUAAUACCGCAUACCAUCGGAUGUGCCCAGAUGGGAUUAGCUAGUAGGUGGGGUAAAGGCUCACCUAGGCGACGAUCCCUAGCUGGUCUGAGAGGAUGACCGGCCACACUGGAACUUAGACGCGGCCUAGACUCCUACGGGAGGCAGCAGGGGGGAAUAUGGCACAAUGGGCGCAAGCCUGAGGCAGCCAUGUCGCGUGUAUGAAGAAGGCCUUCGGGUUGUAAAAUACUUUCAGCGGGAAGGCGUUACCCGCAGAAGAAGCACCGGCUAACUCCGUGCCAGCAGCCGCGGUAAUAC